GCACUGGAAGGUGUGGUUUACCUCAGGUGACUGUAUAAAGCUGCACAGUCUUAUUUUAAUCCCUGCAUCUAAGCAGAGA
rnacentral:miRNA from 1 species